rnacentral:rRNA from 1 species
GACGAACGCUGGCGGCGUGCUUAACACAUGCAAGUCGAACGGAAAGGCCCCCAUCUUGGUGGGGGUGCUCGAGUGGCGAACGGGUGAGUAACACGUGGGUGAUCUGCCCUGUACUUCGGGAUAAGCUUGGGAAACUGGGUCUAAUACCGGAUAGGACCAUGGUUUAGUGUCUCAUGGUGGAAAGAUUAUUGUUUUGGUGCAGGAUGAGCUCGCGGCCUAUCAGCUUGUUGGUGGGGUAAUGGCCUACCAAGGCGUCGACGGGUAGCCGGCCUGAGAGGGUGGACGGCCACAUUGGGACUGAGAUACGGCCCAGACUCCUACGGGAGGCAGCAGUGGGGAAUAUUGCACAAUGGGCGCAAGCCUGAUGCAGCGACGCCGCGUGGGGGAUGACGGCCUUCGGGUUGUAAACUCCUUUCGUUAGGGACGAAGCCGCACUUUUUUUGGGUGUGAUGACGGUACCUUUGUUAAGAAGCACCGGCUAACUACGUG